rnacentral:misc_RNA from 1 species
ACACCUCAACUCUCAUGGUUUGCCAUGAUGAGCUUGGACUUUGGGGGUCUUGCUGGCCUAUGGGUCGGCUCCUCUCAAAUGAAUCAGCUUGCCAGUGUUUGGUGGCAUCACAGGUGUGAUAACUAUCUACGCUUGUGGUUUUCCGCCAGGUAACCUCCAGCAAUGGGGGUUCGCUGGGGCUCAUAAAUGUCUCUCCUCAGUGAGGACAGCUUUUUAAC